rnacentral:rRNA from 1 species
AUUGCACGCUGGCGGCAGGCCUAACACAUGCAAGUCGAGCGAGCGGCGGACGGGUGAGUAAUGUCUGGGAAACUGCCUGAUGGAGGGGGAUAACUACUGGAAACGGUAGCUAAUACCGCAUACCAUCAGAUGUGCCCAGAUGGGAUUAGCUAGUAGGUGGGGUAAUGGCUCACCUAGGCGACGAUCCCUAGCUGGUCUGCGAGGAUGACCGGCCAAACGGGAACUGAGACAAGGUACAGACUCCUACGGGAGGCAGCAGUGGGGAAUAUUGCACAAGGGGCGCAAGCCUGAUGCAGCCAUGCCGCGUGUGGGAAGAAGGCCGUAGGGUUGUAAAGGACUUUCAGCGGGGAGGCGUUACCCGCAGAAGAAGCCCCGGCUAACUCCGUGCCAGCAGCCGCGGUAAUAC